GGCUAGUUAGUCUAGGGGUAUGAUUCUUGCUUUGAAGACGAGAGGUCCCAGGUUCAAAUCCUGGAUGAACCC
rnacentral:tRNA from 1 species